rnacentral:rRNA from 1 species
AAUAGAUACCCGGGUAGUCCACGCCGUAAACGUUGGGCGCUAGGUGUGGGUCCCAUUCCACGGGGUCCGUGCCGCAGCUAACGCAUUAAGCGCCCCGCCUGGGGAGUACGGCCGCAAGGCUAAAACUCAAAGGAAUUGACGGGGGGCCCGCACAAGCGGCGGAGCAUGCGGAUUAAUUCGAUGCAACGCGAAGAACCUUACCAAGGCUUGACAUAUACCGGAAACCCUCAGAGAUGGGGGCCCCGCAAGGUCGGUAUACAGGUGGUGCAUGGUUGUCGUCAGCUCGUGUCGUGAGAUGUUGGGUUAAGUCCCGCAACGAGCGCAACCCUCGUUCUAUGUUGCCAGCACGUGAUGGUGGGGACUCAUAGGAGACUGCCGGGGUCAACUCGGAGGAAGGUGGGGAUGACGUCAAAUCAUCAUGCCCCGUUAUGUCUUGGGCUUCACGCAUGCUACAAUGGCCGGUACAAAGGGUUGCGAUACUGUGAGGUGGAGCUAAUCCCAAAAAGCCGGUCUCAGUUCGGAUUGGGGUCUGCAACUCGACCCC